AACGAACGCUGGCGGCAGGCUUAACACAUGCAAGUCGAGCGGGCCCUUCUGGGUCUUCUGCAGACGGGUGAGGAACACGUGGGAACGUACCCGUUUGUUCGGUAUAACUCUGUGAGGGUAACGCUAAUACCGGAUACGCCCUUUUGGGGAAAGACUUGCUGCCGCAGGAUCGGGCCGCGUCUGAUUAGCUAGUUGGUGAGGUAAUGGCCUACCGAGGCUACGUUGAGUAGCUGGUGUGGGAAGAUGACCCACAACCCUGGGAGUGAGACCCGGACCAGACUGUUAGGGGUGGAAGCAGGGGGGAAUAUUGGACACUGGGCGCAAGAAUGAUCCAGCCAUGCCGCGUGAGUCAGGAAGGCGUUAGGGUUGUAAAUCUGUGUUGUACGGGACGAUAGUGACGGUAACGGACGAAUAAGCCCCGGCUAACUACGUG
rnacentral:rRNA from 1 species